rnacentral:rRNA from 1 species
UACGUAGGGGGCAAGCGUUGUCCGGAUUUAUUGGGCGUAAAGAGCGUGUAGGCGGUUAGGUAGGUCCGUUGUGAAAACUCGAGGCUCAACCUCGAGACGCCGAUGGAAACCAUCUGACUAGAGUCCGGAAGAGGAGAGUGGAAUUCCUGGUGUAGCGGUGAAAUGCGCAGAUAUCAGGAAGAACACCCGUGGCUAAGGCGGCUCUCUAGUACGUGACUGACGCUGAGACGCGAAAAGCGUGGGGGAGCAAACAGG